rnacentral:rRNA from 1 species
GACGAACCGUGCGAACGUUGUUCGGAAUCACUGGGCUUAAAGGGCGCGUAGGCGGGCGGCCAAGUCGAGGGUGAAAGCCCCCAGCUCAACUGGGGAAGUGCCUCCGAUACUGGCCAUCUCGAGGGAGGUAGGGGCGUGCGGAACUUCCGGUGGAGCGGUGGAAAUGCGUAGAUAUCGGAAGGAACGACCGGUGGCGAAAGGCGGCGCGCGUGGACCUCUUCUGACGCU